UUAACACAUGCAAGUCGAGGGGCAGCGCGGAUAGCAAUAUCUGGCGGCGACCGGCGGAAGGGUGCGUAACGCGUGAGCAACAUGCCCGUUAUCGGGGGAUAGUCAUUGGAAACGAUGCGUAAUACCCCAUAACCACUGAAGCUGCAUGGCUUUAGUGUAAAAGAUUCGUCGAUGACGGAUUGGCUCGCGUGGCAUUAGCCAGUUGGCGGGGUAACGGCCCACCAAAGCGACGAUGCCUAGGGGUUCUGAGAGGAAGACCCCCCACAUUGGGACUGAGACACGGCCCAAACUCCUACGGGAGGCAGCAGUGAGGAAUAUUGGUCAAUGGACGGAAGUCUGAACCAGCCAUGCCGCGUGAAGGAAGGCGGCCCUAUGGGUUGUAAACUUCUUUUGUGACAGAGCAAUAAGGUCUACGCGUAGACCGAUGAGAGUAUGCCACGAAUAAGCAUCGGCUAACUCCGUGCCAGCAGCCGCGGUAAUACG
rnacentral:rRNA from 1 species